GCAGUCGAACGGUGAUGAAGAGCUUGCUCUUUGGAUCAGUGGCGAACGGGUGAGUAACACGUGAGCAAUCUGCCCUUGACUCUGGGAUAACUGCGGGAAACUGUAGCUAAUACCGGAUAUGACCCAGGAAGGCAUCUUUUUGGGUGGAAAGAAUUUUGGUCAAGGAUGAGCUCGCGGCCUAUCAGCUAGUUGGUGAGGUAAUGGCUCACCAAGGCGACGACGGGUAGCCGGCCUGAGAGGGUGACCGGCCACACUGGGACUGAGACACGGCCCAGACUCCUACGGGAGGCAGCAGUGGGGAAUAUUGCACAAUGGGCGCAAGCCUGAUGCAGCAACGCCGCGUGAGGGACGAAGGCCUUCGGGUUGUAAACCUCUUUUAGUAGGGAAGAAGCGACUGGGUUUUCCUGGGAGUGACGGUACCUGCAGAAAAAGCACCGGCUAACUACGUGCCAGCAGCCGCGGUAAUACGUAGGGUGCAAGCGUUGUCCGGAAUUAUUGGGCGUAAAGAGCUCGUAGGCGGUUUGUCGCGUCUGCUGUGAAAACCCGAGGCUCAACCUCGGGCCUGCAGUGGGUACGGGCAGACUAGAGUGCGGUAGGGGAGAUUGGAAUUCCUGGUGUAGCGGUGGAAUGCGCAGAUAUCAGGAGGAACACCAAUGGCGAAGGCAGAUCUCUGGGCCGUAACUGACGCUGAGGAGCGAAAGCAUGGGGA
rnacentral:rRNA from 1 species